GACGAACGCUGGCGGCGUGCUUAACACAUGCAAGUCGAACGGAAAGGCCCUGCUUUUGUGGGGUGCUCGAGUGGCGAACGGGUGAGUAACACGUGAGUAACCUGCCCUUGACUUUGGGAUAACUUCAGGAAACUGGGGCUAAUACCGGAUAGGAGCUCCUGCUGCAUGGUGGGGGUUGGAAAGUUUCGGCGGUUGGGGAUGGACUCGCGGCUUAUCAGCUUGUUGGUGGGGUAGUGGCUUACCAAGGCUUUGACGGGUAGCCGGCCUGAGAGGGUGACCGGCCACAUUGGGACUGCGGUACGGCCCAGACUCCUACGGGAGGCAGCAGUGGGGAAUAUUGCACAAUGGGCGGAAGCCUGAUGCAGCAACGCCGCGUGCGGGAUGACGGCCUGCGGGUUGUAAACCGCUUUCGCCUGUGACGAAGCGUGAGUGACGGUAAUGGGUAAAGAAGCACCGGCUAACUACGUG
rnacentral:rRNA from 1 species